rnacentral:lncRNA from 1 species
CUCUCUCUCUUUAACUCUUGAAAAUUGGAAGAAUGGAAGUGAGGAGAAAAUGGGAGAAAGGGCCCUUAUUUAUAGGAUAUAGGAGCCAUUAGAUUUGCACCAAGUGGCAAAAUCCGAUGAAGAGAGAGUAAAAAGAUGUUUGGCACGAAAAAAUAGAGGGAAAAGACCUCCUCCACUGGCGGCGGCACCUCAAGCGAUAGCAUGCCGCCCGAGGCAGGUGACGGCACAUUGCCUGAGGUGGCAGUGGCCUCAUCCGCCUGGCAUGCGCUGCAGGCACCGGGCUACCCUGUCAUGCUCAGGAGUUGGCUUGUCCAUUAGGGCGCUAUGCGCAGGCCUAUCUGCGUAGGCCUGCUACAUGGACGGUGCGCACACAAUGUGCGAUGCCUGCCUGUUCGCGCGUGAUGUGAUGAGCAUGGAUGGGUCUUGCUUGCGCACAACAAAAGGCGCGCACAGGCCUGUCCUCCGCACCGCAUGUAAUGGGACGUGUGUACUAUGCACACAUCCUGCGCCUGUGAUGCGUACACGCAUGAACAAAUCUCACUGAAGCCCGUGCGGGCCGCCUAUCACGUGGGACUUUUCUCACACGAG